GAGAAUGGUUGUUAAAAACAAAAACUAUUGAUGAUAUAAAUAAUCCACAUGAUGCAGUGAAUUUUACUUUAAGAUAUUUUUCUUUCGUUUCCUUUGUGUAAAAUCCCGGGGAUUACCCUGGUGUCUGUGCUUUCACUUUCACUGUGUUUUUAUUUGCCUGUGAUCUUAUUCAGGCUACAUAAAGCUCGCUGAACACCUCAUAUAAUCAGAUUCCUUCACACACUCACCUGUGCUCUCCAAAGCAGGUCGCAGAAAGAAGAGCAGCUUUGUGUUCCUGAGCUGAUUAUCGACUAAAUAUGGACAAAGAGGAACUCGAAUUCUUCCGGGCUCUGAGAGCCAUGGCUUUUUUAGAGGCGUUGGAAAUACAAGCGGAAAUUCUGAAAAGGCUGAUUGCUGCAUGUCGCCCUGAAAGUCCCAGGAGCUCUGCUGAAAGGAAAAGAUUAAUAAACCUUGCAAUAGAAAACUGCAAAGAUGAAACUGUCCUGCAGUGGCUGAGAGAAAAUUCAGAGUCUGGCACCUUCAGAAAACUCUCAGACAUGUUUGAUUUCCUGAAAAGAAAAAUUGAUGAGGAAGAAAAGAAGAACCAUGAUGACACUGUUGACAUAAUCUUUGUGUCACAUGGAUCAAUCAGAGACUCCAUGAUCCCAGCCAGCUGUUUGCUGCCUCUGCCCACCAUCACUGACCUGGUCCUGUACUCUCCCUGGAACUGUGGCACCACUGGUGAUGUAACCUAUGGCAUUGCAACAGGAAAAAUGAGGCCACAGCACAGAGUUUUUUACCAUAGAAAAGAAAAAGACGGUAAAAUUACUCCUGAUACACAUCAACCCCUGAACCUGCCAAACUACUGGAACUCACUGAAGAAAGCUGGAGGACGGAAGAUCCCAAACAUCAUUGUUAGCCCUCUGCAGGAAGAUGAAGGAGUGUGGAAAAAAUUUAAGUCUCUCUCAACAAAAUAUGGUCCACCAGGACGAAACCGCAUCGUCAUCCCGUUCAGCCUCCCAGCAGAGAGUGAAAGUGUCCCGUUCUCUGUCGUCUGCUUGGCUCUGUCCCUGGUGCUCCUCUCUUCCAG
ensembl:lncRNA